ACCAUUUAAACAAAACCCAGAAACGAAAGCCAGUUACUUUAAUCAUCAAUACCCCAAUGUACAUUUUCUCUUUUACACGUUGUCUAAAAGAAAGAAAAGGAUGAGAAAGAGGUGAAACCUCACCUAAGUAAAUGCAAUUACAGCAAGAAGUCCAUCAACAGAAAGCAAUCCCACAUAAACUCCGACCAAAGCAUGAUCAUAAUAAAAAAAGGCCUAAAAUUUUUUCACUAAAUGUAAUCAUAAAUUUAGAAAUACAUGCCACAUAAAAGUCUAGAAUUUAAAUGCCCAGCACUUCAUACAAGUUCAACAUUCUCGGUCACAAAGUUCAAUAUCAAAAAAUAAGUAAAUAACAACCAAAAGCAAGCCAAGAACUUCUUACUACAGAAACAUAGUGAACUACAAAGUACAAACUAAGCACAAUCAUUGAAGUCACGAACUUCUUCUCUUCUUCUGAUCAGCAACAGAAACAUAUUGAACCUGGAUAAGUUUGCAAUGGCAAUGGCAAUGCCUGGAUGUGGAGGGCCCAGUCUGAAGCGCAAAGAGUCACAAAGUUUUAGACAAUCUAGAAAAACAGCAGCUAAAAAUCCUGCCCAGAAUUCAACUAAUGAACAGCCCAAACAAUAAAUUAAACAACAGCUAAAAAUCAUCUGAAAAAAGGGAACUAAAGCAACCAAAUAACUUCCAUUUUAGUUGCAAAACCAGCCACCAAAUAGAUCAUAUACACAUAUAAAGAAACCAGCAGCCAAAUGAAUAAAGAGACCAAUAGCCAAUAAACUAAGAAUAUAGAUUACCUAAAACAUGAAAAAGUUCAAGGAAUAGGCAAUGAAAUCUCUUGUGCUGACUUCAUUUUCUGCAAAGUAAAAAAAAAAAUAAUGACCAAGAUUAAUCUAACUAUAAAACAUAUUGUAAUAGAAGAAAUAGUAAUUUGCAACAUAAUUACCUUAUCCUUUUUCUUCACCCCGUGUAGCUUACGACACCAAUCCCUAGCACACAUCAACAUUUCAACAGUUUUUGUGGUAAGGAUACGAUAUCCAUAAAACUAAUUAAGUAAUGACGGUUGACUGAGAAAUAUAUGGAAUUCUACUGGACUUCUUGUACUCCAAAUGAUUAAUGAUCAGACUCUAGGAUGACCACAGUUUUAUAGCCUUUUGAUAUCCAAACAACUGGACUAAUGCCACCAGUAUGACAAACAAUGAAAAGAAAAUUCUUGAUUAGGCAAAAUUCCAAUACCACCCCAAAUCCAACCAAGUAAGGAGGUCCCAAGUCCUAUCAAAUUCUAGACAUUCCAAAUUAUUGAUUAGUUGGACACCACUGACCUCAAUGACAUGUUAUUUUACAUCACCCCACCAAUCAUGUCUCUUUGUUUCCAUAACUGGACCAAGAGAUAUAUGGAAAUGAUUUCCUAUUCAACUAGUAUUUCAUCAUUUUAAGAGAUGCAAUUUAAUAUGACACUUUGGAAAAAAGUGGUUGUCGAUUGAUUGAUCUUCAGUCACAUUAAGGAGAUUUAUUAGCUGCCCCCAAAAAUAUAAGAUCCCUGCUAGUAUUACGCAAUUCAAGUCGGAUAAAUUAUUACCAUCCCCUAAUUAAAUAACAAAGGCAAUCUUUAAAAGAGAUGUAUCUGUAGAUAUGAUUCUCUUCCGGUUCUAUUUUAAUGCAAACUCAUUCCAACCAGCACACGAAAAAGGUACUUUUUAAAGUCUAGAUGACAAAUGCAAACCGUAUAUUUGUUUAUUUCCAACAUAACUAAGCCGACACAACUUUCACCUAAAAGAACAUGAUAUUCAAAGUCAAGAAACCGCAUAUGGUGCAGAGAUACCAAUAAAGCAGGCCAUUUUUCUACUCUGCCACUUUAACCAUCAGCAUGCAUCAAGUUAUCGGUUUUAUUGUGUUCAUAUAUAUAUAUAUAUAUAUAUGAUUUGGGCAAAAUCAAGAUUGAUUUCGUACUUGCUAACUAGAGGGAAGCAGCAAACUUCAGACGAGAGAAAAUAAUCUACUACUUACAAAUUCUUUAAUUGAACAAGUGAAGCUGUGACCCAAAUGAAAUCCCGGAUCCAACGUAGGAAUUAGGAGAACGCCGAACCAACCUUAAAUUGGAAAUCAAAUUGAGGGCUUUUUUCUUAGAAUCUGGAUCCGAGGUGGGAAAUGAAGGACGAGCGGCGCGAAAGGAAGAAGGAUAGUUAGCAGUCGUUGAGAAUACAACUGGGUCGAGGAGAGCCGCCAGGUGUUAUUUUGAUGGCAAUGGGUCCGAAUACAGCUAGGCUGAGGAGAUCGAAGAAGUCGAAUUGCAGACGAUUAACUUUACAACGUGGAGGUGGUGGCUGUGGCGGUGGUGGCUGUGGUGGUGGUGACUGAAGGGUGGCGGUGGCGGUGGUGGCUGUGGUGCACUGUGGCGGCGGUGGCUAGGGUUUGUUUGAGAAAUUAUGAAGGAAAGACGAAAGAGAGAUGCGGGACAGCGGGAGAAGCAAUUAGAAAUGCAAUUCAAUUUGGGGAAACAACUUUUGCUCUGAAGUCUGAAGACUUUGAACCUCGGCCCCCUGAUGCUUGAAUUCCAAGUUCCAACUUAGUAAUUAGUUA
rnacentral:lncRNA from 1 species